UUAGCUUCUCGGCUCCUUGGAGCUAAGAUCAAGUGUAGUAUCUGGGACAACAGAUAUUAAUGGAUGAGGAAAAUCCAUGAAUUCCAAGGAAGCAGAAUUUCUUUAAAACAUUCCCUAGAAUCAAACAGUUUUUUUUUAAACGCUUGCUUGCCUAUCUGUAGGGGUUUGUGUGAAUUUUUAGUAUGUAGAACCCAUGUAGA